UCCACUAUCAAAUCCAAUCAGAAGCAAACAUCAUGGCUCGACGAUGCAAGUUGCGGAAAGGGAAUUCCAUCAAUAUUAACUUGGAAAAUGAGACUGAAAAUAAUGUUAACCAGAACUUUCAAGAAACUCAAGAGUUACACCAAAAUCAGGCUUCAAAUUUUCAAGGGAAUACUAGUCAGAAGACAAUGAGGUAUCAUUAUGAAGGCCAUUUUAUAUUUUCACCAAAUAGAAUAUAUGAAAAUGGUAGGUUCAUGGAGAAACCUAAUUUUGAUGUUGAUUUCAUCUCAUUUUUUGAUAUAUUGGAUGA